rnacentral:misc_RNA from 1 species
UCCCACUCAUCGUGGGCAGUUUCUCCAGAGUGCUCCCUUGCAGGUAGCAACAGGAAAUGAGGGUUGCGCUCGUUGCGGGACUUAACCCAACAUCUCACGACACGAACUGACGACGACCAUGCAUCACCUGUCCAGCACCCUCGAAGGCUCCGUCCCUUUCAGGUCGGAUGCAGCUGGAUGUCUAACCUUGGUAAGGUUCUUCGUUUGCCGACGAAUUGAGCCGCAUAAUCCACCGCUUGUGCGAGUCCCCGUCUAUUCCUUUGAGUUUUAAUCUUGCGAUCGUACUACCCAGGCGGCUCGCUUACCGCGUUAGCUUAGUCUCACAGAGGGUCGAUACUCCGUAAAACGAGCGAGCAACGUUGAGGGCCAGGACUA